GAUGAACGCUGGCGGCGUGCCUAAUACAUGCAAGUCGAGCGAACGGACGAGAAGCUUGCUUCUCUGAUGUUAGCGGCGGACGGGUGAGUAACACGUGGAUAACCUACCUAUAAGACUGGGAUAACUCGGGAAACCGGAGCUAAUACCGGAUAAUAUUUUGAACCGCAUGGUUCAAUAGUGAAAGACGGUCUUGCUGUCACUUAUAGAUGGAUCCGCGCUGCAUUAGCUAGUUGGUAAGGUAACGGCUUACCAAGGCAACGAUGCAUAGCCGACCUGAGAGGGUGAUCGGCCACACUGGAACUGAGACACGGUCCAGACUCCUACGGGAGGCAGCAGUAGGGAAUCUUCCGCAAUGGGCGAAAGCAUGACGGAGCAACGCCGCGUGAGUGAUGAAGGUCUUCGGAUCGUAAAACUCUGUUAUUAGGGAAGAACAUAUGUGUAAGUAACUGUGCACAUCUUGACGGUACCUAAUCAGAAAGCCACGGCUAACUACGUG
rnacentral:rRNA from 1 species